AUAUCAAUAAGCGGAGGAAAAGAAACCAACAGGGAUUGCCUCAGUAACGGCGAGUGAAGCGGCAACAGCUCAAAUUUGAAAUCUGUCUCUUUUAGAGUCCGAGUUGUAAUUUGUAGAGGAUGUUUCGAGCAUGGUCCGGUCUAAGUUCCUUGGAACAGGACGUCAUAGAGGGUGAGAAUCCCGUAUGCGACUGGGUGCCUAAGCUCAUGUGAAACUCCUUCGACGAGUCGAGUUGUUUGGGAAUGCAGCUCAAAAUGGGUGGUAAAUUUCAUCUAAAGCUAAAUAUUGGCCAGAGACCGAUAGCGCACAAGUA
rnacentral:rRNA from 1 species